rnacentral:lncRNA from 1 species
GUAUCUGAACAUCUUUGAUAAUAUAGAUAAUUGUUUGUGAGUGGAUCUCUAUGUAUUUGAAGGGAGGCUGUUGUUAUGAAUGUGACUUGGGUCUCUGCUCUCUAUCCAGCAUUGAUGUUGAGUGAUAUGUAUGAAUUUCAAUAUCUAUCCUGCAACAACAAAAAAAGUACCCUAUCGUCAUACUUGAGUAAAAGUAAUGAUUCCGUAAUAGAAAAUAACUCAAGUAAAAGUCAACCAGUAGAAUACUACUUGAGUAAAAGUCUAAAAGUAUUUGGUUUUAAAUAUACUUAAGUAUCAAAAGUAAAUGUAAUCGCUAAAAUAUAUUUAAGUAUCAAAAGUACAAGUCAUUUCUAAUUCCUUAUAUUAAGCAAACCAGAUAGCACCAUUUUCUUUUCUUUUUUUUCACGGAUAGAGAAGCAUGUGUUUAGUGAGUCUGUCAGAUCAGGCAGUAGGGAUGACCUCUUGAUACGUGCGUGAAUUGGACCAUUUUCCUGUCCCACUAAGAAUGAUAAAUGUAAUGACAACUUUUGUGUGUCAGGGAAAAUGUACGGAGUAAAAAGUUAAUUAUUUUCCUUAGGAAUGUAAGUGAAGUAAAAGUCAACGCUGUCAAAAAUAAAUAGUAAAAUAAAGAUACCAAUACAGAUACCCCCCAAAAACUACUUAAGUAGUACUUUAAAGUAUUUUUACAGCACUGAACAUGAAUGUAGGAAUGACAAUUGAAAACAGCGAUAGUCUUGAAAAUACUAUUUCAUCCAAUGUAGGGUUCUAACAUAAGUCUGGAAUAUGGAAUUGUUUCCUUUUUUAAGGGCAUUUGAGUGCCUUGCACCGUAUCUGUACAAGGAUGAAUUCAAAUGUAUGACUAUUCAGUCAGGAGUACCAUCUGGUACAAGGGAGAUACUGUACAGUAGGAGUUACUUUCUGUUACUCCCCUAGUAGGAGUCACUCCCUUAUCACAAGGCUCAUUUUCAUUCCUGCCAUACUGAAUUGUGGAAAGGGAAGAAAAACAGGUUCAACACUUACAUACAGUAGCUAUUUUAAGUGCCAGUCGGCAUUGAGUUUGAUGUCCUUCAAAUCAGGAAACAUUAGGCAAGAAAAUAGAAAUAUAUCAAGCUGACCUGUACGGUGACCCUACAGAACAUCCAAAUGAAAAGCAUUGUAAAAUCUAAAUAGCUCUGCAGAUGUGAUGGAAACACAGCAUAUCCUGGUCUGGCGUAUUUGUCUGAUCCUGGCCCUCUUGCCCCACCCACACCAAUGCCUGUCAGUGCAUUUCCAGAACAAGGGUCUCCUUUAUGUGGCUCCGGGGAGAGAGCUGGUCCUGCAGACCCAGUUCCAGAUUACACCAACAGAGAAGAUCAUCAUGGUGAUUUGGGACCGCCAGACUGAGAAGGGUCAGGGACAGGUCAGGCUGGCCAAUCACCAAGAUGCACCUGGCAAUCCUCUAGACCAGAAGGAGGCCUCAUUUAGGGUGGAGAAUAUAAGUUCAUCUGACUAUGGAAUGUACACCAUCACUGUGACUGACCAGAUGGGGAACGAGCAAUCAGCAAAUAUACUUGUUAGAGAGAUUGUUGCUGCUCCUGUAGCGUCUUUGUCGCUCCAGUGUGAGGUGGCCAAUGACAGGGCACAGUGGGACAGCCCAGUGUUUUCCUGGUUGGUGGAUGGGGUAGAGCUGUCCAAUCAGACAGACAAUCUCUCUGCAGAUGGCAGGAGACUCUACGUGUCCGGAAUGAAGGGCCACAACUACACCUGUGUUGUCAACAGCAGUCUGGGGACAAGUGUCACAUACUACGUCACUGAUUCUCCUACACCAUCCCAAAGUAUCCAAUCCUGUAACACUCUGUGUGGUGUAUUACUGGGCUUCAUCAUAGCGAUUCUAAUCACAUGUGGAUAUCUCUACUGUGACUUGUGGGUACCAGUGCGUGUCGGUCCACUUCCAGACCCCGCAGCCGGUCAAUGUACUCCCAGCCGGACGUCUAGUUCUCCAGGUCCAGAGCGACCACGGUCCAAAAGAAAUUAUCUCCAUGAUAACCUGGGAGCGGGAGCCAGAGAAUGCAAAAACUCCAGGGAAUCCUGGGAAAAUGACGUUGAUUACGUUCCCCGGUCAAGACAAACUCUUGGACGGGCGUCUGAGUCUGGAGCAGCAGGGGUCAAUACUGAAGCUGGAGGGCUUUGGCGUGGCGGACAGCGGGGUGUACAUCGUGACCGUCACUGACCAGGCUGGUGUCAAGACCUCUGCGCAGUGUAUCGUCAAGGAGUACGGUACGACGGUCAACAUGGUCUCAUUAGAAUAUAUCCAAAUUGUGACUUUUAACCGUUGUUCUAUGUCACCUAUGCUGACUUAUUACUUCAAUGUAACUAUAAUGACGUGUUAGUUAUGUGACAAUACGGCUGACAGACUUUCUGAUUACGUUGUUGGUUUGAAUACAUUCCUAGAUAUUCCUUCCUGUCCCCUGGAGUUAUGUUCUUAUAGAGGAUUAACUGUUGGGUCAGUUCUGCCUAAGCUCCUUUGUCUUUAUAAAUGUAUUCUUCACUGCAGUCCAACACUCAACUUUGAGUCGGUAAUAUUUCAGUUUAUAAGUCCAAUGACUGUCUCGCGCAAUUCCUCUUCAAUAGUUCCAAGCUCUGUAUUUGUCUCUGUCAAAUGUCUUCUUUCCAAGUUUCUGAUGUGUUUUCUCCUCACAGCCUCGUACUUCUCAAGUCCCCACCACCAAGCCUCAGUAGACAACACGCUCAACUCACACUGUUACUUCACAACACAACCAACCUCUGUUCUCUCUCCUCUCUUUCUCCUCUUUGAGACAAUUUUCAGUUGCAACUUCCAAGUCUCACCUCUCUCACACCUGGUCGCUUUCUCUUUUCUCUGUCUCUUGUCUUUCCUCUCAGAGGCUGUGCACCACCCCUCAGUGAGAGUGAACGCGUCCCACUCCUCCCUGUUCUGUGUGGAGACCUGGGGGACAGACCUUAAAUUCAGCUGGCUCCACGAGCGGGCAGCCAUCUCCGAUGCUGUGGGACACGUGUCGCCUGAUGGGAAGACCCUGUUCAUCUCCUCCUCCCCCAUCUGUGGUCACUUCACCUGCAUGAGCCGUGUGAGAGAGAGGACAAAAGGACCACGGUGGCAGUGGUCUGGCUCAUCAUCCUACUGGUCUGUGGAGCAGUGCUAGCUUUUCUACUGUGGAGGAGACACAGGCGAUACAGUAACAGAGGAGAGAGGCUUCAGGAGCAUUUUGAGGACAACUUGUAACGGUGAACCAUUGAUUACAGUACCCAAGUACUUUCGCUACACUCCCCUACUCAAAGAUGGACUCAUAAAAGGACAGUAAGUGUGCAAAACGCUUUGGGAGGAGCUUCCUUCCCUGUGAGCAGCAAGACCUUUCAGUGCAUUGGAACAAUGUGGAAAGUGAACUGCUUUGUUGGCCAAUUGACGAGUUCUAAAAUUGGAAAGAUCAACUUUUGCCCAGUGUGUUGCCUGUUUUUGUAGAAGCUAUCAUUUUUAUCCCGCCUCUCAUUGUACUGAACUACACUUGAUAUUUUUUUAUGUAACGCUCUAAAAUGAUUUGUUUUAAAAACAAUUCCUUAUUCUCUAACUUUUCUAUAUUGUAAACAUAUUGUAUAUUUUGCUGCCUAUUCUUUGUAAUAAAAAGCACAUUUUAAACUGUGUGAGGCUUUAGUUAAAUUGAUCGCUAUUGUAAAUCCACAAUUCAGUCAGGGAAUGGGAGUCAAAGUACAACCGCUCCAUACAUAGU